ACAAGCCACACGGUCAGUAUUCCGAGGUGGGGGUGGAACAACAUUACCCCAUAAACAUUACACUCCACACUUGUGCCGGCGGCCCUGGUUCGAUCUCAGAUCCAGGUCAUAUGGGAUUUGUGAUGGAAAAAGUGGCACUGGGGAAGGUUUCCUCAAAGCGCUUGGAUUUCCCUUCCAAAUUCUUAUUCCUCUAACUGCUCCAAAUUCAUUAUAAUUGUAAAUUACAUUACGAUAUUACGUACAGUCUACCUCUACCGACCAGAGUCCUCCUUGGGAAGUUACCAGUCCCUUAAUUGUCCAAGAAAUUCCCCGUCUUUUAUGAAACCAGAAUGCUCAUUGUCGUGUCCAUCACUGGACACUGUCCUAAGCCAGAUGUAAUCAGUCGACACACACUUUCGCCAUAUUUGUUUAAGAUCCAUUUUAAUAUUAUCCUGUAUCUAGUCUCCAGUCUCCCAUGCUGUGUCUUCCUUUCAGGUCUUCCGAUUGGACUUUUGUGUGCAUUUCUUAUCCCCCCAUGUGUAUUGCCUCAUGCUCCCUGAAUUGGUAACCCUAAUAAUAUUUGGUAAAGAGGAUAACUUAUGAAGCUCCUGAUUACGUAUUCUUCUCCAACGUCCCUGUACUCCUUCCAUUACAAAUAACUGACUUGGAAAAUAAGCGCACGGCUCUCCAUUCUUGUCAUAAAUUAAAUAAAGAUACUUAUGAUACAGAAAUAUGUUUGCUAUCAGUUGUGAGUUUAAAGAUUUUCGGUUUAAAAAAAUACAGUUAAUGAAAGUAUAGUAAAUAAACUCUGCACAUGAAAGAUUCGAAAGUUGUUUACCAACAGCAUGAAAAGCAUUCUAAGAGUAUCGUGCCUGUCUGUGACCCUGAUUAGGAAUGUAUCUGUAUCAAUUUCAUACUGAAAAUAUGUCAGUGAAACGAGAACGCAAAACCAUACCCCCGGGCGGUAACGUGUAAUCACGUCUGUCUCCACCCUCACAAGACAUUAUGAAACUUCCUCAGUUGAUAUGAUCUAAUUAACCUAAGGACGUAUAACUUUGACCUGUGCCCAACUACCUCAGCCAUCUGUAUACGAGGGGGGAGUCAGUAAGUCACAAAUGGAAGUAAUAGGUUUUCUGUGUGUAUCACUAGGUAGCAACACAGUCCAGCUUCAUGACAGUUUAGGUAGCAGACGCGCAUGCUCAUGCUCCUCAUGCUCUGAGGCUGGUUUAGGCCGUCAAAAUGGCGACUGUGCUUGAGGAGUGGGCUUCCGAAGAGCAGCGUUAUCUUGUGCGUCUUUGUGGGCAAAAGGACUCAAUGCAAAGAAUAUUUAUAGAGAAAUGUUUUUGGUGGGAAGUAUUUGUCGCGUAAAGCUGUUCAUAACCAGGUGGAAAACAUUUCGCUGAUAACGAAGAAAUCGAAAUGGAUGUGCGGAUGUGGCUGAGACAACGGCCAAAAGACAUAUGUUGUGGGUUUCAGCGCACUGGUAAAACAGUGGGCAAAGUGUAUCAAUGUUGGCGGAGGACAUGUCGAGAAGUAAAUGUUCUUUCAGGAUGAGUUAGAAGAAUGAGUGGUGAUUAAUUAACGAUCAGAGCGCACGAAAUAGCGGGGAAAGCGAGCCACUCACGGCGCUUGAAGAGAACCGUCCUUCGUUGAAUGAAACAAGAGUUAAUUACGCUCUUCUUCCAAAGGCUGAAAUAACGUUUGAAAAUAUGACGGGUUUCCAGCUUUCCAUUUUAAAUAAAGAAACAUCCAGUUGUUACAAA